GACCGAUUUGUCCGCUGCCUCCA
rnacentral:siRNA from 1 species